ACCUCAGACAACCUUACCAGUCACCUCAGAAUCCGGCCACACCCUUAGACCCUCUGAUCUCUCUCUCAACUUCUCAUCCCUCAGACCCUCACUGUGGAGGAGCUUUCCUUCAUGGCACAGAGGCAGAGCUACGACCAUUGGUGCCACUCACCUAUCUGAUCUCUCUCUCGACUUCUUCAUCCAUAUUCCAGUGCACUGUGCACUGAUUCUCCACCAAAUCAGAUAAAUUUUGGAAUUAAUUUUGGGUUUGUGAAAUUUAGAUUAGGGUUUGUGAAAUUUGGCAUUUUGAGCAUUUUGUUUGAAUAUUGAGAUUCUUGAAACAAAAUUAUUGGGAAGAGUAGGAAUGAGAUUCUGGGGUUUUGUUAGCAGAAAUUCUAGUUCGCAAUUUCGAUUGACUUUAAUUUUUGAUGGCCACCACUUUGAUCAAGAACAUAAAGACUAGGUUUUUUCAUGUAUGUCUUUCAAAAACCUCUUUUUUAGCUUGAUUUUUUGCUUAAUUUUGUGAUUCUGAUUAAUCUGUUGCGAUUAUGAAUUAAUGAAAGACUCGUUGUAUUAGGUUGAGGACAUCCAAAAGACAGUUUAAGGAGCUAAUAAAGUGCCAUAACGACACGGUUUCCAUUCGGUAAUUUGCGUUAGUCGUGUCUUCACUUUACAUUGUAGCGAUAACUUCCUGUUCGUGACUUGGUCUGCACUAGCAGUUUAGAGUACAUAUUUCCAGAUUAUGCUUUCAUUUGCUAAAUACCUGCUUGAUUCUUUAGUUAACCUCUGGGAAUCUCAUCUCGUAUUCUUGGGAAGUCCCUGAUUUGCUUGUGACUUGGGUUCAAUUACUUGCUAAUUACUUAAUUGGGUAUAUGAAGAAACAGUUGUUAAUUACUUACUUGGUGCAUCAAUUUGUUCAGUCUGGAUUGCUGCUCAAGGGAAUUACUGUUUUUGUACUCUGUUUUUAGGGUAUUUGUAUAGGAAAUGGUGGUUGUAUGAAGCCAAUUGAACUACCACUCUUCUUGUGAUGAACAGAUUUUAGUGGAUGUUUUUGCAGAGAAAUUGUUGUGAAAUUACGUGGUUUGUGGCUUAAUUUCAUUUACUUGGAUGUUUGGAUGGUCUACAUUUUUAUUCUCAAAGAAGUUAGCAUCUUGGUUAGCUGCAAUGUUUUAUGAUGAUUUGUUGUGUGAUUGUUGCAAGUUUCAUGCUUUAGUUUCUUUUGAGAUAAUUGAAUUCUGCAGAUGCAAUUAGUUUCUGCAGAUUGAAUUGGAUUGGGAAUUUGGGUGUCUUAAGUUCUGUAGAUGCAUAUCAGAUACAAUCGUAGCAGUCUGCCUGCAAUUUUGUGUGAAUUUUAUUUCAGGAUUCCUGAUUUGUCUUGAAAUCCUGAAACUAUUUCGGGAUUCCCGAAAAUUUGGUUUGGGAUCGGUCUUGAAAUUAGGAUUCCUGAAAACUUCAGUUUAGGAAUCGGGACAAAGUUUUUGGUUUGGUAUCCCAUACCGAAACAGCCCUAAGAUUAUUUAGCGAUUUUGGUUGCCAUAGAAUCUCAGCGUUUUGUACAUCUUGCUUAGGCAGGUUGAUCAAUAGGAUUUAAUGUUUGUUGGAUUAUGGAAGUUGUACUAAAUCCUGUAUGAUUUGCACUGGUAGUCUUACUUUAACCGAAAUAGAAGGGGGCGAAAGAGUUAUACGAAGAGUUCUAGUAAAACCAUAGCUUUGUACUCCGAUUGUAGACUGGUAGAUACACUGUAACAACACACUUAGCUACUUGACGCAAAUAUUCUACUAAUCCCUUCAUUUUUUUGUUAAGUUUGAUCUCUUUCCACCUUGAUUCCAUGUAGUUACUCGAAUUAUCUGGUACGACAUAUACACCACAUUUGAAAUACAGGUCCCCUGGUCCUUGAUCCUUCACCCCAAACUUCUUGACACCAUCGAUGAAAACUAUAAUGUUCCAUUUGUCAACGUUGUGGAUUAAGUUUACCCCAAACCACUUGUCGUGGAGAUGCGUAACAACGACUUUGUAUUUCUAGUAUUUGAUAUCUCCCGCACCCAUCCCUUUAAUAAUAAUAAGAUGCGUAACUAUACAAAGUAUUUCAUAUCUCCCCCCACCCAUCCCCUUAAUAAUAAUAAUAAUUUUUUACCAAACAUAAACCGUAUGUGCCAAGUCCGUCUUCCUCUGCUUGAUGAUCUCACUAAUAAUAAGAAUAAUUAUUAUUAUUUUUGGUUUUUUAUAUUAGCAUCCCACAAAAUGUUGAAUGCAUCCCACAUUAAAAUUUAAUAUUAAAUAACUUAUUUAUUCUACUAUGCAAUGACAAUUUUGACCUUAUUAGGUUAAAAAAAAAUAAAAAAUUCUAUAUACACCCUAAAUCACUUUUAACGUAUUAUUUAUCUUCUUCAACUAUCAAAACCCCUUCGACUCUCUAUUGUUAAACAAAAACCUAACCAAUGAAACUACAAACAUGUUGAUUGAGAAAAAAUAUUUUUAAUUAAUGAAACACGAAAUCGAUGUUUCUGAAGCUUCACAUGUUGUAGACUUCACAUUAUAUAUUGUUUUAGUGAUUUUGACAACAUCAAUAAUGAUUUAAUCUUGCUUUUGAUGUGUUAUUUAAGCUUCUAUGUUCGUAUUCAUUUUUUAGGGAUUACAUGAAGAAUUAAACAUCUAAAAUUACCACCAAAUAUUAAAAACAGACGACAUGAGUUUUAAUGGUGGAAUUAAAAACAACCCACAUAUGCUUUAAAUCUCAGGCAGCAUCUUUUGUCAAACUUUUAGUCAACAUUAUUUGUCCAAAUUAAAAGGUUUGUAAGAUUUAAGAAAUGUGGGGUGUAUAGAAAAUAUGGGAUGCAUAUAGAAAAUGUUAGGUGUAUAUUAAGAAUGUGGGGUGUGAGGAUAUUAUGGGGAAGUAUGUGGGGUGUAUUAAGAUAAUAUUUAAUUAAAAAAGUAAAUGUGAGGUGUUUUAAGUAUAUGAGGUUUAUUCAAUAAUUUGUAGGGUGUUAAUAUAAUAAGCCUAAUUUUUUAAUAAACAUAGACUAUGCCAAGUCCGUCUUCCGCUGCUUGAUGAUCUCACUACUCACUAUUCAAUCAAGGGAGUUGACUUCUAUUUAUGGAAAAUAUACAAAAUAAUAGAAUAUGAUUUGAUCAACAGCGUAGAUGGUGCUUAUAAUCAUGUCUAUGAACAUUAGUGCGACUUAGAAGAAAUGCAAGGAGGAAUUUAUAAAGACAAAGGUUACUUGCUGUUCGCUGCAAAAAAGGGCAUUCAAAGGACAAUCUUCCCAAGUUUUUCACCGCCGUUUUUACCAUUCGCUGCAAAAAACAAAUACUCCUCCCCUUGCGAGCUCCUUCGUCAAUUCCCCUGGCGACUCUAAGUCCCUCAGAAAAAAUGAUUAACUGUAAUUUGAAUUUUUUAAACCUUGUGUUUGGUUGUAUCUAACGAUCCCUAAUACCAAAUUUAAGGUUUAGAUAUAUAAAAAAGAUAUCUCAGGUACUUCAUUGCUAUCCAUUAUGCUCCCCAGUUUCAAGCAGAGCAAAAAAUUCUAAUUGAGUUGAUUUUUGAACAUGCAGAGUAGUUAGACAUCUGAAUUACCAAUCUUUAUUAUUAUUGCAAUAAACACACAGAUUACACUAAAAGCUAGUGAAUCAUAAACUUGCAGAUGACUUAUCCAAACACAAAGAUAAGACAUGAGUUUAUUAUUGUUGCUAUAAACACAUGGAUUAUAGCGAAAUUCAAAAACUAAAAACAAGGAAAAAAGUAGUGAUGAAAACCAAUGCAACUUUUGUAGGGAACACGAUUGCAUUCGCACAUGCAACAAGCCUUUUAAAUCCAUAGGUGACCCAAAUGGGACGAGUGAAGUCUCGUGAGGGUUUCCAGAGACGUUACCCACAAACAUCAUGCAUACUGAUCAUCAACAUCUACCUUGGGAGACUGAGUAGAUAUCCACCCCUCCGGCAUCGGGUGUUUUUUGGUUGAGGCGCAAUUCGAAUCUGUUUUCAAUGAACGGCCUGGUUAAGAGGUCGCUUUGCAAGUGACGUAAUCGACAGCGCGUGAUUAGGUUGUUGCUGUCAGGUGGUCCGACAGGCUCGACCUUGAACAAUGUGCAAGCCCAAUUGUCUUUGGUUUCAUUUCGGUCAGCAGCUGCGGCCAGGACCAAUAGCCUGUUUUGGUCCACCCUUCUCAAGUAGUUGCCGUUGUAGGAGCAUUUGAUAUGCACGUAAUUCUUGUCGGCGUAGUCCUCAUUGUUUGGCUUCUCCGUGGUGAACUUUAUGAACCUGCUGUUUUCAUUGUCCUCGGAAAAUUGGACAAUCUCAUUAAGGUCGCUUUCUGCAUCAAGUUGAUAACGCAAAUACUUGUUGUUGGUAUCUGCUUUCAGCAGAAAGGGGCUUGGUAGUACAGGUGGAGCCAUGUUGUAUAGUGUAGUUGGGAUUGGGAUGAUCUCUCUUUUUUUCUUCUCUCUUGAUGGUUUAAUUUACUUGCUGCGAGUGUGUUGCUCUGUUCAAACCUGCUAUCCUAUUUAUAAGAAAUUAAGCACAAGCUAGCUCAAGUUAUGGUCUUUAAUUAAUAUUAUUUUCGACAAAUCAGUUUCCCAUCUCUUUCAUUGAUAUGAACAUGGCUGAUCUCAUUGGUGUGACGCAAGAUUUGUUAAAAUAGCUGAUCGGAUUGAUUUCUUUGUAUAACUCUUCUGCCAAUUCUGCAACUUGUAGAUGCAAUUCCCAUUACAAAAUUAAAAAAAAAAAAAAAAAUCCUAAACUCAUAUAAGAUAAAUAAAGACUUUUUAUAUCAUAAAAUAAGAUUUUCUAACUUGUACACAAGACUUUAGUUACGAGAUCGAAUAUACAUUGAUGGGUGCGCAUUUUCCUUCGUCAUCUUUUCUGUGCUAUUAAUUUGUGCGAUUGUCGACUUUCAUAAAUUACAACGGCUACAGGUAAAAUGUCACUCCAGUUUUGAUAAAUAGUGAAGGCAUAUGGCAAAGUCUGUGCGGUCGUUUUUCAUGAAGCAAAUUCUUGUAGGUCUAAUGAUGGGGCAUAUGACAAAAACUUCUUUCUUGUUUAAAACUGAGCACAAAUUUUAAAUUUUGUUAUAACAUUUCACAACUAUUAAAGGUUAACUCAAUGACCGUAAGCACCAAAGAGAAAAAUGGUUAAGUGAAUGUUAUUAGAAUUAUAUAAAACUGCUUGCAUAGUAUUUUACGAAUAAGAAAUUUUAUAGAAUAUAGAAUAAGUAUUUCUUUUAAAAAAAAAAAAUUGGGAUGGUAUAUUACACUAAAAUAUUUGUUGUAGAAUUUAGAUAUGAUCAUAGAAAAAGACUUUGCCAAAUGUCAAAAAAAUUUAUACCACGUGGAAUGACUAUAAUUGCCAGAUAGUUAAAAGUUUUGCAACAUGUAAUCGACAUGGUUUCAUAGGACCUACAUCUAGUUGACUUGGUUGUUAAAAUUAAUGUAAGACUUUUAGUUGAUAUUUCUUGAGGGUGAAACACCUUUUGAGAAACGUUUUGGGCCUCAUUACAAUUUUUUCACUUAUUUUUAUGUUUCAACUUAAAUAUUCUACUAUAAAUACAUUUGGGCCUUAACAACUGGUAAAACCAUUUCCAAAUGUAUUUUAAAGAUUUUCUUAAUGUCACGGAAAAUAUUUUAUGAAAAUGAAAGAUUUGAAUUUCCACAAAAAAACGUGGGUUAACUCACGGUUUUUUGUCGGUUUUGUAAAUUCGUAUAAAUAUCUUUGUUAAAUCUAUUUGUUUUCACAUUAACCUUACCGUGAGGUACUUAAAAUUAAUGUAACUUUCUGUCGAUAUUCUUGAGUAUUGACCCUUGUUAAGGCAAAGAUUUGUGCCUCACUACGAUUUUUUUCAUUUAUGUCUUAGGUUUCGUCUUUCACAAAACACAUGGCUGUAGACCUGAAGUUUUGAUUAAAAAUAUUUGUAACAUGACAGCAUAUGGCUAUAGGCGUGGAGUCUUUGUUAACAAUUAAAAGUUUUGUAAUAAAAUAUUUGACUUGGUUUUAUAAGGCCUACAUCUAGAUGAUUUGGUUUUUAAAACAAAUAUAAGACUUUUUGUUGAUAUUUCUUGAGGAUGAAACACCAGUUGAGAAACGUCUUGCAUCUCAUUACAAUUUUUUUUUCAUUUAUUUUUUAGGUUUCAACUUAAAUAUUAUACUAUAAAUACAUAUGUGGCUCAAUAAUUGGUAAAAUCCAAAUCUCUUGUAAACAUUUUCUUAACGUCAUGGAAAAUAUUUUACAAAAAUAAAACAUUUGUAUUUUUCACAAAAGACAAAGGUUAACAAUCACGGUUUUUUUAUCGGUCAUAUAAAUUCAUUCGAAAAUCAUCAUUAAGUCCAUUUGUUUUCACAUUCGCCUUAUCGUGAGGUACUUAAAAUUAAUGUAUAGCUUUCCGUCAAUAUUCUUGAGGAUAGAUCCUCGUUAAGGCAAAUAUUUGGGGCCCACUACCAUUUUUUUUCAUUUAAUUUUAGGUUUCGGCUUAAAUAUACCAUUCAAACUAAAUCUUGGAUCAAUAAUUGGAAACAAAUACUCUCCCCAUGCGAGAUCCUUCGUCAAUUCCCCUGGCGAACUCUGAGUGCCUCUGAAGAAAUGAUUAACUGAAAUUAGAAUUUUUUAAACCUUGUGUUUGGUUGUAUCUAACGAUCCCUAAUACCAAAUUUAAGGUUUAGAUAUAUAAAAAAGAUAUCUCGGGUACUUCAUUGCUAUCCAUUAUGCUCCCUAGUUUCAAGCAAAGCAAAAAAUUCUAAUUGAGUUGAUUUUUGAACAUACAGAGUAGUUAGACAUCUGAAUUACCAAUCUUUAUUAUUAUUGCAACAAACACACAGAUUACACUAAAAGCUAGUGAAUCAUAAACUUGUAGAUGACUUAUCCAAACACAAAGAUAAGACAUGAGUUUAUUAUUGUUGCUAUAAACACACAGAUUACAGCGAAAUUCAAAAACUAAAAACAAGGAAAAAAGUAGUGAUGAAAACCAAUGCCACUUUCGUGGGGACACGAUUGCAUUCGCACAUGCAACAAGCCUUUUAAACCCAUAGGUGACCCAAAUGGGACGAGUGAAGUCUCGUGAGGGUUUCCAGAGACGUUACCCACAAACAUCAUGCAUACUGAUCAUCAACAUCUGACUUGGGAGACUGAGUAGAUAUCCACCCCUCCGGCAUCGGGUGUUUUUUGGUUGAGGCGCAAUUCGAAUCUGUUUUCAAUGAACGGCCUGGUUAAGAGGUCGCUUUGCAAGUGACGUAAUCGGCAGCGCGUGAUUAGGUUGUUGCUGUCAGGUGGUCCGACAGGCUCGACCUUGAACAAUGUGCAAGCCCAAUUGUCUUUGGUUUCAUUUCGGUCAGCAGCUGCGGCUAGGACCAAUAGCCUGUUUUGGUCCACCCUUCUCAAGUAGUUGCUGUUGUAGGAGCAUUUGAUAUGCACGUAAUUCUUGUCGGCGUAGUCCUCAUUGUUUGGCUUCUCGGUAGUGAACUUUAUGAACCUGCUGUUUUCAUUGUCCUCGGAAAAUUGGACAAUCUCAUUAAGGUCACUUUCUGCAUCAAGUUGAUAGCGCAAAUACUUGUUGUUGGUAUCUGCUUUUAGCAGAAAGGGGCUUGGUAGUACAGGUGGAGCCAUGUUGUAUAGUGUAGUAGGGAUUGGGAUGAUCUCUCUUUUUUCUUCUCUCUUGAUGGUUUAAUUUACUUGCUGCGAGUGUGUUGCUCUGUUCAAACCUGCUAUCCUAUUUAUAAGAAAUUAAGCACAUGCUAGCUCAAGUUAUGGUCUUUAAUUAAUAUUAAUUUCCUCAAUCAGUUUCCCAUCUCUUUCAUUGAUAUGAAUAUGGAUGAUCUCAUUGGUGUGACGCAAGAUUUGUUAAAAUAGCUGAUCGGAUUGAUUUAUUUGUAUAACCCUUCUGCGAAUUCUGAAACUUGUACAUGUAAUUCCCAUUACAAAAUAAAUAAACAAAAUCCAAAACUCAUGUAAAAUAAAUAGAGACUUUUUAUGGCAUAUAUAUAAAAUAAGACUUUCUAACUUGUUCAAGCUUAUAGUCACAAGAUCGAAUAUACAUUGAUGGGUGCGCAUUUUCCUUCGUUAUCUUUUCUGUGCUACUAAUUUGUGCGAUUGUCAACUUUCAUAAAUUACAAUGACUACAGGUAAAAUGUCAGUCUAGUUUUGAUAAAUAGUGAAGGCAUAUGACAAAUGUCUACAAUUUGGUAUCAAAGCCAAACUCUGGCCGGGAGUGUGUCAACGAGGACGUCGGGCCCAUAAGGAGGAUGGAUUAUAACAUCACACAUCGUUCAGGGGAAUGGAUUCUGUAAGUCUUAUAUGUAUAUUCCUAUCUCUACCUAGCACGAGGCCUGUUGGGAGCUCACUGGCUUCGGGUUCCAUCAGAACUCCGAAGUUAAGCGAGUUCACACGAGAGCAAUCCCAUGAUGGGUGACCCACUAGGAAGUUCUCGUGUGAGUUCCUAGAAAUAAAACUGUGAGGGCGUGGUCGGGGCCCAAAGCGGACAAUAUCAUGCUACGGCGGGGCCUGGGAUGUGGUAGGGGCCCGGGCUGGAAUGUGACAAUUUGAACCCGAAGCCAGUGAGCUCCCAAAAGGCCUUAUGUUAGGUAGAGAUGAGAAUAUACAUAUAAGACUUACAAGAUCCACUCCCCUGGGCGAUGUAGGAUGUUACAAUCCACCCCCCUUACGGCUCGACGUCUUCGUCGGCACACAUCCGGCCAGGGAUUGGUUGUGAUACCAAAUUGUCACAUCCCGGCCUGGUCUCCCACCACAUCCCUGGUUCGACUUCACCGUAGCAUGAUAUUGUCCACUUUGGGCCCGACCACACCUUCAUGGUUUUGUUUUUGGGAACUCACACGAGAACUUCCCAGUGAGUCACCCAUCAUGGGAUUGCUCUCGCACGAACUCGCUUAAUUUCGAAGUUCCGUUGGAACCCGAAGCCAGUGAUCUCCCAAGAGGGCUCGUGCUAGAUAGAGAUGAGAAUAUACAUAUAAGGCUUGCAGGAUCCAUUCUCCUGAGCGAUGUGAGAUAUUACAAUUAAUGUUCAGUAAAAUAUUUUGUGAAAAUAACAAAUUGCAUUUUAGACAAAAAAAAAUGGCACGAUUUUUAGACGGUUUUGAAAAUUUGUUUAAUACAUCGAUAUUUUUACACUAAGGGGACGAGGAGUUCGGCUAAGCCACACAAAGGGCAGCCUAAUUUGGUUUCAAAUUCGCCAUUCACAAGAUUCAAACUUAGGACCUCCCACUUCCAAGUAGAGAGGAAUACUACCAGAUCGUAGUACUGAGUGGCAAAAAAUCUCAUUAAAUCUACUUGUUUUCACCUUAGCCUUUCCAUGAUGUUUUAAAACUAAUGUAAGGCUUUAUGUUAAUAUUCUUAAGUACUAGCCUCAAUUUAUGCAAUGUUUCAGGCCUUACUUGACACGCCCCAACCUCGAUAUCCCCACAUACCAAGGUAAGCAUAUGCUGGUCGACACCCAACGGUGACAAAGCCAUUUUAAACAUGCAUACAAAUAAAGAAUAUGCAAUUAAAAUGUAAAAUUAUAUUAUAGGAACAUGUAUAGAGCAUACAACUACUAAUAAUAAUAUGGAAGAAUUACUAAGAAACGAUACGAACAAGGAAAUGAUACUUAUACUGAGAAGACUCGAGGAUACCUAUGCCAAAUUACCAUGACGCCGGGAUCAUGUGCCUCGAUCCUAACUCCUGAAGGGGUGCAAAACAGAAAAAGUGAGUGGACCAAAGUUUAUAAUAAUAAUACUAAUAGUAGGAAAACAUUUUAUUUUUGAACAUAAUAACCUCAUGUUUUGAAAACACAUUUAUAAUACUACAUAGAGGUUUUAUAAAAACCCCAGCAUGCCAUAUAAAACAUUCGUAAAACAUGUAUGUAAAACCAAUGUUGAAAAUGGUAAUAACGCCCGAAGGUAAAUCCGUAAAUCUCAUCAGUGAGGUACUUAACUAGAGGUAUCAUAGUCGUCCAAAUGCAGUACCUGUCCAUCACCCGAAGGUGAAGCUGAACAACCUAUCCAUCACCCAAAGGUGAAGCUGUUUAACCUGUCCAUCACCUAAAGGUGAAGCUAUAUAAAAUAACAUACAUCCACACUGACACUAGCCGUGGCUAAUGAAUCUGUUCGACAUUGCUUUUAGUAGUGAAGCUAGGGGUGUAUAAUAUAUCAUAUCUCACUCCUCCAUCCUCUGUGUCAUACGACCAUAGACAUUUAUACCUGUGGUGUGCGGAUGUGCCAUAUGAUAAACCACUAGGUAGUACCAAAAACUUAUUUCCAAAACUCGUAUCAAAAUCUGGAGCUCGCUAGGUCAAACCUCAUCUCAUAAAUCCAAGAUAAAUCAUAUUCAUGAAAUCCAUAAAAUAAUUCAUGUUUGUAAAACUGUAAUAUAAAUCGUAUUCGAAAAUCAUAGAAAUCCAUAUAUGCAAAUCCAAUAAUUCAAUACCUUUAAUGAAAUGUAAUUUCGAUAAAUCAAACUAUUUCGUAAACCAUAAUUAUAAAAGUCUAUAAAGCAUAUUAUAAAUCAUAUUCAAAUCAUGAAAUAUGGAAUGCAUGCUAGGCUAAUAUUUUAUAAAAACAAGUAAGUUAAGAAGGGGUCCACUCACUGAUUUUAUUGCCCGAGAACUGCUCGUACUAGUGAGGAUGACGUCGCUUCCCGCCAACAUGCCUAAACACAAUUAGGGACCAUUUAAUAAAACUAUACUAAAAUGUUAGAAUGUAAAAGGAAUGGAAAAUUCGGAUCCGGCAAGUAGAAAAACCUAAGGAGGGACCUCAGGUUUUCGCUCACGUAUUGUUGUACGAGCAGCCAUGAGGUUAUGGUCCAGAAGGCCAUGUGACGCCAUAUGUGGCGGUAGGCCACCUAGACUAGUCGAAAAAUUCAACAAUUCUAAAAAUUCCCAAAUUUUACAGGAAUGAAGAUCUCAAUGAAAUGAACAACUUUCAUACUUAGGUUGAGGUCCAAUUUGACUGGGAAAUAGCUCAAAUUGCCCUCGAUCCCGUCAAAAUCCUAGAAAUGGGUGCUCUCCAAUUCGUCCUCAAAUCGAACCAGACGCCCCCAAACUUGUGUGGGCUUUGUUCCUGGGUUCAAGGUGAGUGGUUUGAUGGUGGUGGUGGUCGACGUAGCUUUCACGAUCGGCGAAUCUUUGCCGUGGCACCCCUGGAACCCACGGGUUUCGUUCUGCAUGAAUUCAAGGUUAAACCUAGUGAAAUUUGGUUGGAGAUGGAAGAGGAGAAAAUGAUGGUUAGUUUGCAGGUGGUGGCGAGUUUGGAUCGCCGAAAAACCAGUGGAAACACAUCGGAAAGGUCACGCUACGGGUUGGGUUAGCGGGGAGGAACUGACUUAAGGGUGAUCCAGUGCUCCUCCAUUCUCUCAUUUCCCCUCAAUUCUCUCCUUUUUUAUUGGUCACUCUCUCUCUCUUUCUCUUCUUUCUCAUUGGGCGUCCACCCUUAUUUCUCUCAUUUCUCUCUUCUCUCCUCCAUCCAUCUCUUUCAUUUCUAUUCUUUCUUUUCCAUCAUCGCCACAUACAUGGUACAGACUGAUGCUCCAACAAAAUCUGGAGCCUUCCAGAUUUAUGGUCAAUUGACCAUUUUGCCUUCGACUUCGUUUGUUAAUAACUCUUUCGUUAUAACUCCAAUUUACGUUCCGUUUACGCCCACGCGUUCGUUGUGACAAGUACUACAAGUAUACACUAAGAAAAUGGAUCUUAAAAAGUCAACAUAUUUGCCUCGAAGGGUAUUUUCGUAAUUUCACAUUUUAAAAUUAUAAAAACCGUAAUAAUUGGGGAUGGGUCGUUACAUUACUUCAACAACAACACACAACAACAACCAAACCUUAUGCUAUUAAGUGGGGUCAACUGUACUCCACUAUGAUCGAGUUUGCACCAAAUCUUUCGUUAGCUACAAAUACUUCAUAUCAUUUCCUAUAGUAUAUUUCCAAGUCUUAGUAACUUUUCCUCCACUCAUUUUGCCCUAAGCCUUCCUCUCAUAGUUGCCUAUUCUACCAUAGCAUUUUUAGAUUUUCGGUUCAUGUACCAAAACCAUCUUAACCGAUUUUCUUUCAUCUUAUCUUCAAUGGAGACCACUCAUAUUUUACCUCGGAUGUCCUCGUUGUUAAUCCAAUCAUUUUGACACCCUGACCGCAAUAAUACAAGUUACAAGGCCGAGAUAUCUUGGCCGUCAUGAUAUUGACCAUAUGGCCCUAUUCAGGAAUGACUUCACAAGCCAACUUAAUAACGAAGCCAUAGUAAGAUAAUUACGAUGUGAGUGAAUUUGAAUCAAAACAUUCAUUAAUAAUAAAUCAAAAGGUGCUACAAAGUUUCCUAAUCAACCUCCCUGAUUGGGAACAUAUAUUCAAGGUUUAGAUCACAUUGUUAUCACAUCACAUUAGAGCAGCUAGAAGUUUCAUACAAUAGUAAACACAUAAAAGUGUAGUGCUAUGCAUAAUCAAGAGUGUGAUCAUGCAAAUAUUAUUGACAAAAUAAAUAUGCAGUAGAGGAAUCAUCACUAAAAUCCAAGGGAUGAAACCUCAUUGCCAAGCCCACUUGCCACCACUGAGGUUCUCCUGAUUCUCACUACGUCUUGAGGGAUUGAUACAUAAAGUAUGAGUGGAUCAAGUUUUAUCUCGUAAAAAAUCAAUCGAAUAAUCUCUGUUUUGAAAACACCUAUUGUUGAAUUAUACAGGAGAUGACCUUAGGGCCCACAUCCAACCAUAUCGAUAUAGCCCAAACUUGGUAAUUAUUGCCCGCACAAUCUGUCAGGUGUGAAGUUUUAUCACAAAAGGCCUCGGUGUUAGAUGAAGUGAGGACAUGAUAUUUAAACUCUUAUCUACUUAGAGAUAUGGCUGAUGUGUGAUAUUUCAACACCUAUAUAUAUAUAUAUAUAUUAAAAACUACAUGCAUAAUAAUAUUACCAUAAUAGUGGUCACAAUCAAUUCAUCUUGCACGUCAUAUCAAAGAAAGUAAGUCAUUCAUAAAAUCAAAGUAAUAGAAUAUGAUUUUAUCAAUAUUGUAGAUGGUUCUUAUAAUGAUGUAUACGCACGUUGGUGCAACUUCAAUUCCAAUGAUCUCUCUCUUUUAACAACUAACUAUAUUUAUUUCAUAAAUGCUAUCAUUUGUAUAUAUAAAAAAAAUGAUUUGAUCAUAUUAAUUCUGCAUAGUCCCCUCAAGUUGGAUGGUAAAUGUCAUAAAUCAAGUUUUUUAGUCACAAUUGAGUCCUUGAGAUUUGCCUAACUCAUCAUCUUGGUCCCUGAGAUUCAAAAUCAAUAGGAGCGGUCAACAAAAGUCAACGUAUUUGCCUGGAAGGGUAUUUUCAUAAUUUCACAUUUUAAAAUUAUAAAAACCGUAAUAAUUGGAGACGGGUCAUUACAUUACUAUAACAACAACACACAACAACAACCAAGCCUUAUGCUAUUAAGUGGGGUCAACUGUACUCCACUACGAUCGAGUUUGCACCAAAUAUUUCGUUAGCUACAAAUACUUCAUAUCAUUUCCUAUAGUCUAUUUCCAAGUCUUCCUAACUUUUCCUCCACCCCUUUUGCCCUGAGCCUCCCUCUCAUAGUUGCCUCUUCUACCAUAGAAUUUUUAGAUAUUCGGUUGUUGAUGCACAAAACCGGAGGGGUCUUGGAACAACGUAAAUCCGACAGUGAAUAUGCAAGAAAGUAAAUAACACAAGAUGUAUCGUGGUUCACCCCAAGGUUUGGGCUACGUCCACACUGAAUAUGUAUUUAUCUGAGAGGUGAGGGAGAAAAUGUGAGAGCCUCUGAGAGUGAUGCUUUGAGAGGGGGUGAGGAGCCUUAGGAAUUGGUCUCUUCCAAUUGUGAGGGUGAGAGGUCAUUUUAUAGAAUAAUAACUCCUCACUUAUUACAUAUUUGCCCCUUCCUUUAUCACAUAAUUACAUUUAAGUCCCUUGAGUAUUUGUACGAGAUCCAAAUACAAGGCCCUAAAUAUGGUAUUAACAGUAGUCCCCUAAGUCUUCAGUCAAGAGAGUCUUUUGGCUGGAGACUUGAAAUUUAGUCCAUAUGUGGGCCGAAGUAACUAGAUGUUGUCUUAAACUGAUGUUCGAUAUGAGGCGGUGCCCAAUCUGAAAUGAUGCUCAACUAGAAGUAGCACAUGCUGUGAGGCUGCUCGACUCGUGGCUUAUGUUGCCUUGGUUGGCUCGGCUUGUGGCGUUGAAGGUGAGGGAGUCCCUUUUAUAGAAUAAGGGCUCACUCCUCAAUACAUGAAUGAUGGGCUAGAGUUGAUGCUCUCUAAUGAUGGUGAGGGAGUCCCUUUUAUAAAAUAAGGGCUCGCUCCUUAGUACAUGAAUAACGGGUUAGGAGUGAUGCUCGUGGCGAGGCGAUGCUCUCUAACGAAGGUGAGGGAGUCCCUUUUAUAGAAUAAGGGCUCGCUUCUCAGUACAUGAAUAAUGGGUGCUCUCUAAUGAAAGUGAGGGAGUCCCCUUUUAUAGAAUAAGGGCUCGCUCCUUAAUACAUAAAUAAUGGGCUAAGUCCCCCAAAUAUUUUUCAUGAGGCCUCCACACAACAUUCCAGCCCAUUUAUUUUGGGCUUUGCCUUUUUUUUUGUUUUUUUAUUUUUUUUUAUUUUUUACCUUUUGAUGGGGUUUAUACAAAUGUCUCCAAAAGAUAGGAAAAAUAAAUUACAUCAUACAAAAACCAGAAAAGUAAAUCACAUCAUUUUGGUGGGGUGUUUAUUCUUCACUUUUGCUUUUUCAUUAACAUCAUGGUGUCGUAUGUGAAGAGUGGGAACAUGCAUGAUGAAAGUUUGUGGGCAUCUUCUGCGUUGUCAUCGUGCCAAGUUGAUUCCCUUAAUCAACGUAGAGCUUGGGCUGCUGUGCAUUAGUGGGUAGCCAUGCUUUCUGCUUUUCUCUUUUUGCUUUCUGCAAUUAUCUCCGACCCAAAGGUUAAUGCACAAAACAGAAUCCUAAUUCAGCAUCAAGCAGGUAAGCUUGAAAAUCCACUGAGCUGUGCUAGUGCAGUAGUAAGAGCGUUUGUUCCCUGUUUAUCAAUCAAUCUAUGUGCUAUUGGUGUGAAAAACUGUACAGAUUCAGGAUGCACUCCACUAAGAGUAGCAACCACCUGCUACGCAGAUGACUCCAAAACCUUCUCAAUAGUUGGUGGACUAGCAAACUCAAACUUUCACCCCACAUCACGCUCAAACGUUUUAAUUGUUCUUCUCUGGUUGUUAGUAAACAUCAGAACGGCAAUACCUUCUUUCCCUGCGCGUCUAGUAUGCCCAAAGCAAUGCACAAAUGUCUCUCGAUCUUGCCACACUCCCCCCCACCUACUUCAUCGAGUUCUUAAUCUUGCCAAAUGAUGUCGUAGCUGAGUCACUCGCCAAGUCUAGAUUCAGCAAGGUCUUGAGCGACGCGAUGACCCUUGACAUGUUCAGGCUCAAGACGAUUCCUUCACGGCUUCCUCCAUGUCUGUGCCCGUGCUCACUCUCUCUCUCUCUCUUCCCCUUUCCCAAAAGCUGAUAGCUUUAAUUGUACUCAUUAAAAGAGUGGCUUGCAAAAGGUGAGCUUUCCCCUGAAAAAUUGGUGUCACAGUUUGCUGCUGAUCCUCAUAAUGAACAUGCUUGAUUAAAUCUGCCCCCAAUCCCAAAGAUACCGGCUUUGAUAAGACCUCUUUUUGGUGGGACAUUGGUCGAGUCUCUCCCUUUUCCUUUCCUCUUCACUGGGUUGCUGCUGCUGCUGGUGAAUCGCGUCUGACUGGAGCAGCAGAAGAAGUCUAGGGAACGGAUAUUGAAGCAUCAACAGCAUCUGGGUUUGUUCUUGCUUUUCGCCUUGAACUUUCCUGAGGCCCUGUGCUACUAUCAGUCAUAUUCUUCCAUUUUCCUGACAAGAAGAUGACCGACAAGCGGAAGACCGAUAUUUUCAGUAACAUUUUCUCUCGCCAUUGUCGGCGGCGCGUGGACUCGGUUCUUUGAUCUCGGCGAUCUCAUUGGAGACUAGGGUGGCGAUAACAGCGUGGAGUUUGAGGUUGAAUAAUGAGGUUUUGACGGUGAUGUUGUGGGAGAGGGAGUGUCUUGAGAGAUUUAGUGGGUUUGUUUCUCAUACUUCAGUUCUUGAAUUUUUGCCAAAAAGUAGAGAGAGAGAAAGAGAGAGAGAGAGAGCUGAUGAGUGUUUGAGAUUUGGUUCUUUUCAGUUUCUGGGUUUGUUUUUGUGAUUUUGCAGAUUGACGGUGGCGGUGAAAAAAAAUGAAAGAGAACCGACAUAGUUUUUUGUGUCGAUUCCCACAGACGGCGCCAAAUGUUGAUGCACAAAACCGGAGGGGUCUUGGAACAACGUAAAUCCGACAGUGAAUCUGCAAGAAAGUAAAUAACACAAGAUGUAUCGUGGUUCACCCCAAGGUUUGGGCUACGUCCACACUGAAUAUGUAUUUAUCUGAGAGGUGAGGGAGAGAAUGUGAGAGCCUCUGAGAGUGAGGCUUUGAGAGGGGGUGAUGAGCCUUAGGAAUUGGCCUCUUCCAAUUGUGAGGGUGAUGGGUCCUUUUAUAGAAUAAGGACUCCUCACUUAUUACAUAUUUGCCCCUUCCUUUAUCAUAUAAUUACAUUUAAGUCUCUCGAGUAUUUGUAUGAGAUCCAAAUAUGAGGCCCUAAAUAUGGUAUAAACACGGUUCAUGUACCUAAACCAUCUUAACCGAUUUUCUUUCAUCUUAUCUUCAAUGGAGACCACUCAUAUUUUACCUCGGAUGUCCUUGUUGUUAAUCCAAUCAUUUUGACACGCUGACUGCAAUAACACAAGUUACGAGGCCGAGAUCUGGCCCUCACUAAAUUGACCAUAUGACCCCAUUCAGGAAUGACUUCACAAGCCAACUUAAUAACGAAGCCAUAGUAAGAUAAUUACGAUGUGAGUGAAUUUGAAUCAAAACAUUAAUUAAUAAUAAAUCAAAAGUUGCUACAAAGUUUCCUAAUCAACCUCCCCACUUAGGAACAUAUAUUCAAGGUUUAGAUCCCAUUAUUAUCACAUCACAUCAGAGCAGCUAGAAGUUUCAUACAACAGUAAACACAUAAAAGUGUAGUGCUAUGCAUAAUCAAGUGUGCAAUCAUGCAAAUAUUAUAGACAAAAUAAAUAUACAGUGUAGGAAUCAUCACCAAAAUCCAACGAUGAAACCUCACUGCCAAGCCCACUUGCCACCAUUGAGGUUCUCCUAAUUCUCGCUAUGUCCUGGGGGAUUGAUAAAUAAAGUAUGAUUGGAUCAAGUUUUAUCUCGUAAAAAAUCAAUCGAAUAAUCUCCAUUUUGAAAUAACCUAUCGUAGAAUUAUCAAAGAGACGAAGGGCCCACAUUCAACAAUAUCGAUAUAGCCCCAACUUGGUAAUUACUGCCCACACAAUAUGUCAGGUGUGAAGUUUUAUUACGAAAGGCAUCGGUGUUAGAUGAAGUGGGGACAUGAUAUUUAAACUCUUAUGUACUUAGAGAUAUGACUGAUGUGAGAUAUUUCAACACCUUUAUAUAUAUAUAUAUAUAUAUAUAUAUAUAUAUAUAUAUAUUAAAAACUACAUGCAUAAUACUAUUACCAUAAUAGUGGUCACAAUCAAUUCAUCUCACACGUCAUAAGUAAGUCAUUCAUAAAAUCAAAGUAAUAGAAUAUGAUUUUAUCAAUAUCGUAGAUGGUUCUUAUAAUCAUGUAUACGCACGUUGGUGCGAUUUCAAUUCCAAUGAUCUCUCUCUCUUUUAACCACUAACUAUAUUUAUUUAAUAAACACUAUCAUUUGUAUAUAUAAAAAAAUGAUUUGAUCAUAUUAAUUCUACAUAGUCCCCUCAAGUUGGAUAGUAAAUGUCAUAAAUCAAGUUUUUUUUAGUCAAAAUGGAGUCUUGAGAUUUGCCUAACUCAUCAUCUUGGUCCCUAAGAUUCAUAAUCAAUAGAAGUGGUCAAUGAGAUAGUCCACCAACAAUCAUUUUGGUCAUUUAGUGAAAAAUUGGUUAAAUAAAAAUUAAAAUGACAAAAUUACUCUCAAUGUAAUAAACAAUAGGCCAACAUGAUUUGACAAAAGUUGAGGGCAUUUUUGUCAUUUAUCCUUAUUUUAUGGAGAUUUUUGACGGAAUGACGAAAAUGAUUGAUUGUGGACAAACUCAGGGACCAAUUCUAUCGAUUUCAAAUCUCAGGGACUAAAGUGAGGAGUUAUGCAAAUCUCUCGAGAACCAUUUUAACUAAAAAAUGAUUAUUCCUAAUUUCCGAAAGCCCUCGGGAAGAUAUCUGCCAAUUGUACUUGAGAAGAAAUGCAGGAAUGAGGAAUUUAUAAAGACAAUCUCAUUAAGGUCGCUUUCUGCAUCAAGUUGAUAGCGCAAAUACUUGUUGUUGAUAUCUGCUUUCAGCAGAAAAGGGUUUGGUAGUACAGGUGGAGCCAUAUCGUAGUGUAGUUGGGAUUGGGAUGCUCUCUCUUUUUCAUUCUCUGUUGAUGAUCUAAUUUGCUUGCUGUGAAUGUGAUGCUUAGUUCAAACCUGCUAUCCUAUUUAUAAGAAAUUAAGCACAAGCUAGCUCAAGUUAUGGUCUUUAAUUAAUAUUAAUUUCGACAAAUCAGUUUCCCAUCUCUUUCAUUGAUAUGAACAUGGCUGAUCUCUUUGGUGUGACGCAAUAUUUGUUAAAUUAGCUGAUCGGGUUGAUUUCUUUGUAUAACUCUUCUGCCAAUUCUGCAACUUGUAGAUGUAAUUCACAUUACAAAAUAACAAAAAUAAAAUCCAAAACUCAUAUAAGAUAAAUAAAGACUUUUUAUAUCAUAAAAUAAGACUUUCUAACUUGUACAUGACUAUAGUUACAAGAUCGAAUACAUUGAUGGGUGCGCAUUUUCCAUCAACAUCUGUUAUGUGCAUGUAAACUGAGCGUGGAGUCUUUUUUAGCAAUUAAAAGUUUUGUAUCAUUUGAUUGACUUGGUUUGAUAAGAUCUACAUCUAGAUGACUUGGUUCUGAAGACUAAUGUAAAACUUUACGUUGAUAUUUCUUGAGGGUGAAACAUUGUUUGAAAAACGUUUUGGGCCUCAUUUCAAUUUUUUCAUUUGUUUUUUAAGUUUCGGUUUAAAUAUUCUACUAUAAAUACAUUUGUGGCUUUAAUAACUGGUAAAACCACUUUCAAAUAUCUUGUUAAGUUUUUCUUAACGUCACAUAAUUUUUUUAACGAAAAUAAAACAUUUGCAUUUUUCACAAAAGAUGUGGUUUGUCAGUUUUGUAAAUUUGUAUAAAAAUCUUCAUUAAGUCCAUUUGUUUUCACAUUCACCUUACCAUGAGGCACUUAAAAUUAAUUUAUAACUUUCCAUUGAUACUUGAGUAUAGACCCUUGUUAAGGCAAAGAGUUGGGCUUCACUACAAUUUUUUUUCAUUUAUUUUUUAGGUUUCGUGUCAUAUCUUGGCCCGGGCCACUACCACAUCCCGAGCACGAUUCCGCCGGAGCACGAUAUUGUCCGCUUUGGGCUCCGACCACGCCCUCACGGUUUUGUUUUUAGGAACUCACACAAGAACUUCCCAUGGGUCACCCAUCAUGGGAUUGACCUCGCGCGAACUCGCUUAACUUCGGAGUUCCAAUGGAACCCGAAGCCAGUGAGCUCUCAAAAGGCCUCUUGCUAGGUAGAGAUGAGAAUAUACAUAUAAGGCUAACAAAAUCCACUCCCCUGGGCGAUGUGGGAUGUUACAUUUCGGCUUAAAUAUUCUAUUAAAACUAAAUUUGUAGCUCAAUAAUUGGUAAAACUCUUUCCAAAUGCUUUAUAAAUAUAUUGUCUUAAUGCUAAUGAAAAAUAUUUUGUGAAGACUAAGGAUUUGCAUUUCUCACAAAAAAUGUGGUUGCUCACUAUUUUUCUUCGGUUUUGCAAAUUCGUACACAAAUCAUAAUUAAAUCUAUUAGUUUUCAUCUUUGCCUCAGCGUGAUGUUUCUAAGAUUAAUGUAAGAGUUUUUGUUGAUAUUCUUCAGUAUAUACCCAGUUUAGGCAAUGUUGGACCUCACUACUGUUUUUUUUUUAAAAUUAUUUUUUGGGCUUGGACUAAAAUAUUCUAUUAGAAAUAUAUUUGUGGCUCAAUAAUUGGUAGAAACACUUUUAGAUGCCCUAUAAAGAUUUUCUCAAUGCUCUUGAAAAAUAGAAAAUUUGCAUUUUUCACACAAAAAACGUGAACACUCACGAUUUUUAGGCUAUUUUGCAAAUUCGUAAAAAAAUAUUAUCAAAUCUUAAGCCUUUUAUAAUUCUUGUUCUAAAUGGAUUGUCUGUCAGUCAUACAAGAUUAUAAUUACAUGAUAAACACACUGAUGGGUGUGUAAUUUCCUGCAAUAUCUUCAAAGUGCGAUUAAAAUGAGCGAUUGUCGACUUUCAUAAAGUAGUAUGGGUAUAGGUCUUUUAAUAUUGCAAGCUUUUAUAACUCUUAUACUAAAAAUUUGUACAAGUUUAUAAAUGGAUUAACAGACUAAUAUUUUGGGUAUAAAUGAAGACUAAAUGAGGGACUUGAUUCUCAACCUGCACACUACAUAGGUGUGAAGUCUUUUGGUAUAAUUAUAGACUUAAUGUCUCGUUCAUUAAGGUAUUGUGCCUAACUAAUAUGUUUUCAGUUAAUUUUUAGGUUUCAGCUUAAAUAAUCUAGAGUGAUGAUAGACCCACCCCCAAGAACCGAUAUUAUCGUUUUUUUGAUAUAACGAUAUUUCGUGACUUAUCCUUUAAUUAUCGUUAAUAUAUCGCGAUAAUAUCGAUAUUAUUACGAUAUGAAAUCCAAAAAUACUUGAAAAUUUCUGAAAAGUCUCAAUUUUGAGCAUAGAAGGAUUCGAACCCCUCCCAUUUGACUCCUUCAACGCCUUAACCACCAUAUCACUUAUGUUUUUGUGAUAAUAUGCUAAAAUAUUUAUAUAUAUGGUUUUGUUUUGAAUUCUUUUUACAAGAAACAAAUUUGCACAUAUUCCAAUUUUUUUGUGGUAUUAUAUUUUAAAUUGUGUCAAUUAAUUACUUAGUAAAUGGCAUGUGGUUUUUAAUUUUUCUAUUUUUUAUUUGGUCACUUACAUGGUAGGGCUGGAAAAUUCCCGAAAAUCCUAAACCAAACCGAAAAAGUCCCAAACCCAAACCGAAAAAUCCGAAACCAAAACCAUCCCGAAGUUCGGGAAUCCCAUCUUGAAAAAGAUCGAAAUUUUCGAUAUGGGAUUGGUUUCCAAAUCCCAUUUGUUUGGUAAUUCCGAAAUCCCAAAAAAUACAGAAGUAUUCAGUUUCCUAUUGACUUUUGGGUUUUGGUUCUUGAAAGCCAUUGCCAUGGUUGCUGACUAUUCUUCACAAUACACUUACUUCACACAUAGAGAUGAUGAAGAUAGUGAAAAUUUUGAACCUCAUAGGAACUCUAUGUGGUACUAAGUCACUCAUGUAUCUUACCAUGCAAUGUAUAAAGUGUAAAAUAUUGUACUAAUUCAUUAUAUAUAUAAAUGAUUAUGGUGUGUUUAAAUUUCUUUCAUUAACUACUACAUAUUUUCUACACUCACAAUGUUUGCCAGCUCGCUAUAUAUCAACUUAAAUCAGUUAAAUCCAUCAUGCAGUGCAUUUCCUUCCAAUUUUUUUGUGAUAAACUAAUAGAUAAUUGACUAAAUAAACAUCAUGCAAAGUUUCAAUAAAAAUUUCCAAGUUUUUCUUACAAUUUCCGUGGUUUUUAUUCAAUUUUUAUCGAUAUCAAUAAUAUCCCGAUAUUUCCAUCGAAAUUUUCGUGUUUUUAGACUACCGAUAUUUCCGAUAUCAUCGAUAUUUUAUACCUUGCCCACCCCAUUAUCCUAAUUUCACCCACCAUAAAAAUUAAAAAAAAUUAAAAAAUUAUUUCUCCACCCACCAUUAUUCCUAAAAUAACCAAUGUCUACUUUUUCAAACAAUAAUAUUAAUAUUUAAAAAAAAAAAAAACCUUCAUGCUUCCUUAAUUGCCAUUACCCUAAACACACAAGAACGUCCUCCCACCCCCAUAAAAAACCAAAACCUUUGACACCUCCUUGGCGGCAUCUCCUUUGGAAAGAGAGAGAAAUCAAAGGGAAAGGAAGAGAGAAGCACAAGGGGAGUUUUCCAAUACAGAGGUAGAUUGCUCCAAAUCGAUUUAUUCCAACUAGAAUUGGGUAUUCUUUGAUUUUAAAAUCUGGGUUCUCGUCAUAGUUCGUUUAUGAGAAAAAGGAGGAGAUGAUGGAGGUGGUAGUACCAUAAUUGAAAGGGAGAGUCAGGUGGUGUUUGUUGCUGGGGAGGGUAAUGGAUGAUUGGGGAUUUGAUAGUCGUCGGUCCAUCGUGGAUGAUUUAGGAGGAUGAUGGAUUUAUUUUUACUUUUUUUAGUUUUAGUUUUUCUUUAUUCUCUUUUAGUUUAUUUAAUUAAAGUUAUAACAAAUUUAUAAAUGUUGAUUUAAAAGUCUUUUGCUAAAAGGAUAAUUAUGUGAUUAACAUUUUGAUUAAAAGGUGAGUGGGAAAAUAAGACAAGGGGGUGGUUUUAGUAGCACUCAUAAUCUAUUAGAAAUGCAUUUGUGGCUCUGUAAUUGGUAGAACAACUUUCAAAUGCCUUAUAAAUAUUUAAUUAAUGUUCAGUAAAAUAUUUUGUGAAAAUGAAGAAUUGCAUUUUAGACAAUAUAUAUAUAUAUAUAUAUAUAUAUAUGUCACGAUUUUUAGACGUUUUUGAAAAUUUGUAAAAAAAUUAUCAUUUUUUUAAUACAUCGAUGUUAUUACACUAAGGGGAGGAGGAGUUCGGCUAAGCCACACAAAGGGCAGCCUAAUUUGGUAUUAAAUUCACCAUCCACGAGAUUCAAACCUAAGAGCUCCCAUUUCCAAGUUGAGAGGAAUACCACCAAACCGUAGUACUAAGUGGCAAAAAAUCAUCAUUAAAUCUACUUGUUUUCACCUUCGCCUUUCCAUGAUGUUUUAAAACUAAUGUAAGGCUUUACAUUAAUAUUCUUGAGUACAAGCCCCAAUUUAUGCAAUGUUUUGGGCUUUACUUGACACAUCCCAACCCCGAUAUCCCCACAUACCAGGGUAGGCACGUGCUGGCCGACAUCCGAGGGUGACGAAACCAUUUUAAACAUGCAUACAAAUAAAGAUUAUGCAAUUAGAACGAAAAAUGCCAUUGUAAGAACGUGUUCAGAGCAUACAACUACUAAGAAUAAUAUGGAAGAAUUACUAAGAAAAGAUAUGAACAAGGAAAUGAUACCUAUACUCAGAAAACUUGAGGAUACCUAUGCCAAAAUGCUCUGACACCGGGAUCAUGUGCCUCGAUCCUAACUCCUGAGAGGGCGCAAAACAGAAAAGGUGAGUGGACCAAAGUUAUAAUAAUAAUACUAACUGUAGGAAAACAUUUUAUUUUUGAAUAUAAUAACCCCCUGUUUUGAAAACACAUAUAUAAUACUACAUAGUAGGUUUUAUAAAAACCCUAGCAUGCCAUGUAAAACAUUCGUAAAACAUGUAUGUAAAACCAGUGCUGAGCUCGAAGGCAAAUCCGUAAAUCUCAUUAGUGAGGUACUCAACUAGGGGUAUCAUAGUUGCCCGAAGGCAAUACAUGUCCAUCACCCAAAGGUGAAGCUGAAUAACCUGUCCAUCACUUGAAGGAGAAGUUUUAUAACCUGUCCAUCACCUGAAGGUGAAACUAUAUAAAAUAGCAUACAUCCACAUCGACACUAGCCGUGGCUAGUGAGGCUGUCCGACACUGCUUUCGGCAGUGAAGCUGGGGGUAUAUAAUAUAUCAUAUCUCACUCAUUCAUCCUCUGUGUUCUAUGGCCAUAGACAUCUACACCCGUGGUGUGCAGAUGUGCCAUAUAAUAACCACUAGGUAGUACUAAAAACAUAUCUCCAAAACUCGUAUCAAAAUUCGGAGCUCGCUAGGUCAAACCUCAUCUCAUAAAUCGAAGAUAAAUCGUAUUCAUGAAAUCCAUAAAAUAAUUCAUGCGCGUAAAGCCGUAAUAUAAAUCGUAUUAAAAAAUCAUAUAAAUCCAUAUAUGCAAAUCUAAUCAUUCAAUACCUUUAAUCAAACGUAAUUUCAAUAAAUCAAACUAUUUCGUAAACCAUAAUUAUAAAAGUCUAUAAAGCAUAUUACAAAUCAUAUGCAAAUCAUGAAAUAUGGAAUGCAUGCUAGGCUAAUAUUUUAUAAAAACAAGUAAGUUAAGAAAGGGUCCACUAACUGAUUUUAUUGCCCGAGAACCGCUCGAACUAGCAAGGAUGACGUCGCUUCCUGCCAACGUCCUAAACACAAUUAAGGACCAAUUAGUAAAACUAUACUAAAACGUUAGAAUUUAAAACGGACAGUGAAUUUGGAUCUGGCACGUUGAAAAACCUAAGGAGGGACCUUGGGUUUUCCCUAAUGCAUCUUCGUACGAGCGGCCAUGAGGCGACCGCCCGAAAGGCCACGUGUUGCCGCACGAGCCGCCACACGUGGCAGUCGGCUGCCUCUACUCGCAGGAAAAUUCAACAAUUCUAAAAAUUCCCAAAUUUUACAAGAAUGAAGAUCUCAAUGAAAGGAACAACUUUCAUACCUGGGUCGGGGUCCAAUUCGACCAGGAAAUACCUCAAAUCGCCCUCGAUCCUGCAGGAACCUUAGAAAUAGGUGCUUUCCAAUUCGUGCUCAAAUCGAACCCGACGCCUCCAAACUUGUUUGUGCUUUGUUCCUGGGUUCAAGGUGAGUGGUUUGAUGAUGGUGGUGGUGGUCGACGUAGCUUUCACCAUCGGCGGAUCUCUACCGUGGUACCCUCGGAACCCACGAAUUCCAUUCUUCACGAAUUCAAGGUUAAACUUAGUGAAAUUUGGUUGGAGAUGGAAGAGGAGAAGAUGAUGGUUAGUUUGCAGGUGGUGGCGAGGUUUGGGUAGCCGGAAAACCAGUGGAAACACGUAGGAAAGGUUAUGCUACGGGUUGGGUCGGCGAGAAGGAACCGACUCAAGGGUGAUCCGGUGCUCCUCCACUUUCUCCUUUCCCCUCAUUUCUCUCCUCUCUGAUUGGUCACUUUCUUUCUCUUCUUUCUCAUUGGGCAUCCACCCUCAUUUCUCUCUUCGUUCCUCCGUCUAUCUUUCUCUUUUAUAUUCUUUCUUUUCCAUCACAGCCACACACGUGGCACAGAUUGAUGCUCCAACAAAAUUUGGAGCCUUCCAGAUUUAUGGUCAAUUAACCAUUUUGUCCUCGACUUGGUUCGUUAAUAACUCUUUUGUUAUACUCCAAUUUACGUUCUGUUUGCGCCCAAGCGUUCGUAGCGACGAGUACUACAAGUAUACGCCAAGAAAAUGGAUCUUAUGUGACAUGACAAAGCGGUCAACAAAAGUCAACAUAUUUGCCUCGAAGGGUAUUUUUGUAAUUUCACAUUUUAAAAUUAUAAAAACUGUAAUAAUUGGAGACGAGUCGUUACAUUACUCCAACAACAACACACAACAACAACCAAGCCUUCUGUUAUUAAGUGGGGUCAAUUGUACUCCACUACGAUCGGGUUUGCACCAAAUAUUCCGUUAACUACAAAUACUUCAUAUCAUUUCCUAUAGUCUAUUUCCAAGUCUUCCAAACCUUUUCUCCACUCCUUUUGCCCUGAGCCUCCCUUUCAUAGUCACCUCUUCUACCCUGUUUUGCUUGUGCUCGUCGGGGAAGGAGGCCGGAGCCUUCCUAGCUCCGGUCGACGACAAACCAACAUCUAGGGCAUGAUUCACUUACCAAAACAAAAAGUCGGAAGAGAGGAAGAGAUUGAUACCUUUAAUUCGUUGUGAAAGGGUUGGAGGUGGCCGAACUUGGGCUCGCACACCCAUGGCUCGCCGGGAACUGGGUUUAGCACCCCUGGUAUCUCUGUGCAACUCGUCGUCACAAAUACAAAAUCUAAGUUAGAAAUAGGCCACGAGGACAAGAAUGGAGAGAUUACAUGUGUUCCCGAGGCUUACCAAUCGUCGGAAAGAUGAGGGACUCGUGAGAGUUCCUCUGUGCUCCAGAGAGAGAGAGAGAGAGGGAGAUAGCGAGGUGAUGAUGCCGUUAUGGGUAUGUAUGUGUGUUGUGUGAAGCUCGUGGAAGGGGAGGGUGCAGCGAGGGAGAGGGAGAGAAUUGUGAGAUAAAGAGAGAGCUUUGAGAGGUGUAAGAUGCAUGGGAACAUGAAAGAAGAGAGGGACAGGGAAUUGGGCCCGGGGGACAAAACUAAAACAUGUGGGCCUCACAGGCACACACAUUAAGACCCAAUACAAUUUUUAAAAUCGGGGGUGGGGUUUUAGAAGGGAGGAAGGGUGGGGGGAGACAAGUGGGAUAAAGGUGGGUGGGUCCCGCAUUUUUUUUUAUAAAAUAUUUAAAUAAUUGUAUUUUAAUUUUUAAUAGAAAGUUGGCUCCGCCUCAAGCCACGUCAGCAUUUAACAGAAGAAUUAAUAGACAAACUGAACUUAAUUAGAUUUUUUUGCUUUAUGGUUUAGAUUUUUUUGCUUUAUGGUUUAGAUUUUCUUAAUGUCACGGAAAAUAUUUCUUAAAAGUUUUGCAACAUGCAAUCGACUUGGUUUCAUAAGACCUACAUCUAGAUGACUUGGUUGUUAAGAUUAAUGUAAGACUUUCAGUUGAUAUUUCUUGAGGGUGAAACACCGUUUGAGAAACGUUUUGGGCCUCAUUACAAUUUUUUCACUUAUUUUGUAUGUUUCGGCUUAAAUAUUCUACUAUAAAUACAUUUGUGGCUUAACAACUGGUAAAACCACUUCCAAAUGUAUUUAAAAAUUUUCUUAAUGUCAUGGAAAAUAUUUUACGAAAAUGAAAGAUUUGCAUUUCCACAAAAAACGUGGGUUAACUCACGGAUUUUUGUCGGUUGGUAAAUUUGUAUAAAUAUCUUCAUUAAAGAUAUUUGUUUUCACAUUAACCUUACUGUGAGGUACUUAAAAUUAAUGUAACUUUUCGUCAAUAUUCUUGAGUAUAGACCCUUGUUAAAGCAAAGAUUUGGGCGUCACUACAAUUUUUUUCAUUUAUGUCGGCUUUCACAAAGCACAUGGCUGUAGAUGUGAAGUCUUUGAUUAAAAAUAUUUGUAACACAACAGCAUAUGGCUAUAGGCGUGGAGUCUUUGUUAACAAAGAAAAGUUUUGUAACAAAUAAUUGACUUGGUUUUAUAAGACCUACAUCUAGAUAACUUGGUUUUUAAAACAAAUAUGAGACUUUCUGUUGAUAUUUCUUGAGGGUGAAACACCGGUUAAGAAAUGUCUUGGAUCUUGUUACAAUUUUUUUCAUUUAUUUUUUAGGUUUCAGCUUAAAUAUUAUACUAUAAAUACAUAUGUGGCUCAAUAAUUGGUAAAACCAUUUCCAAAUGUCUUGUAAACAUUUUCUUAAUGUCAUGGAAAAUAUUUUACAAAAAUGAAACAUUUGUAUUUUUCACAAGAAAACAAGGGUUAACACUCACGAUUUUUUUUAUCGGUUUUAUAACUUCAUACGAAAAUCAUCAUUAAGUCCAUUUGUUUUCACAUUCACGUCAUCAUGAGGUACUUAAAAUUAAUGUAUAGCUUUCCGUUGAUAGUCUUGAGUAUAGACCCUCGUUAAGACAAAUAUUUAGGGCUCAUAUUUAGGGCUCACAACCAUUUGUUUUCAUUUAAUUUUAGGUUUCGGCUUAAAUAUACCAUUCAAACUAAAUCUUGGCUCAAUAAUUUGAUUUUUUUUUUAAAUUUUGUGUUUGAUUGUAUCUAACGAUCCCUAUUCCAAAUUUAUGGUUUAGAUAUAUAUAUAUAUAUAUAUAUAUAAAAGAUAUCUCGGGUACUUCAUUGCUAUCCAUUAUGCUCCCUACUUUCAAGCAAAGAAAAUGUGAUUGAUGGUACAAAUAGAUACAAUCUUAUACUUGCUUGUUUUUGAACCUGCUUUGAUUUAGGGGUGGGUAUAAAAAUCGGGUACUUCAUUGCUAUAUAUUUCGUCAGUUGUAUGUCAAUUCUUCUGUUAGAUGCUGACGUGGCUUGAGACGGGACCAACUUUUGUUAAAAAAAAUUAAUAAAAUAUUAAAAAAUUAAAAUACAAUUAUUUAAAUAUUUUUAUAAAAAUAAUGUGGGACCCACUCACCUUCUUCCUAUCCCACCGGUCUCCCCCCACCCUUCCUCAUGUCGCUCCAAAACCAAAACCCCCUUCUUCCCCAUCCACCUGUGUCCCCCACCCCCAACCUUUCUUCAUCACCAAAACCAGAGCCCCAAUCACCCACCACUUUCUCCUAAAAAUCCGCUUUCCCAAAAAAUCCCCUUUAUUCUUCUUCUUCUUCUUCUUCUGAGCAACCCAACACAAAAAUCCCCUGAACCCAAAAAUCCCCUGAACCCAAAAAUCCGCCAUCUCCCUUUCCCCUAUCUCCCAUCACUCGCCUACUCCCUUAUCUCCAAAUAUGUGGAUGGAGACCAAGAGCAUGAGACAAAGCGGACUUGAGAAACGAGAGCUCCUUCCCGGUCAUGUGUUGACAACGAAAAUACGAACUGAUGGCAAGGUGGGUUUUUCGAUGGACAAGUCGUCUAGGUGGUGGUGUACUGGGGGAAGAGCUCGGCAUGGAGGUUCUCGUCGGAGAUGGAUGUGUAAUGGGGAAGGAAGUGGUUGCAGGUGAAGCAGAAAGGGCAGAUCCAUAUCUUGGCGGUGUAAUCAACGGUGGUGAAGGGGUUGAGGACGGAGCAGCAUAUGCGGCAGCAGAUUGGGGGGGGGGGCAUAGGGGAGGACGUGCAUGGAAGGGAAUUGCUUGAUCGGAGUGUAGAUGGCUGGGUGAUUAGGUGAAGAAGAUGAUCGAGUGGGGAGGAUGAGGGUGAGGGAGAGUCACUGUGGGGUUCUGGUUUUGGAGUGAAGGAAUGAAGGGUAGGGGAGACAAGCGAGAUAGGAAAACGGUGGGUGGGCAUCACAUUUUUUAAAUAUAAAAAUAUUUAAAUAAUUGUAUUUAAUUUUUUAAUAUUUAAUUAAUAGAAAGUGGCCAUCGCCUCAAGCCACGUCAGCAUUUAAUAGAGGAAUUGAUAGACAAACUGACAGAAGGUAUAACAUUGCAACAAAUUUGAAGAUAAUGUAUGACAUUGAAAUGUUUUAAAGAUGAGGGUAUGAAACUAUGGCUGACCCAAUAGUUGAGGUAGAUUUUUGUAAUUUACCCUAUAUUUGUUAGAAUCGUAAACUGACGUGAACCGAACUAGAAAUGGCGUAAACCGAAGCGUACGGUUUUAGUAAUAAAUUUAAGCGAAACCGCACCGAACUGAACGGUUGAUACUUUCCGAUAUUAGUUCUGGUUCGAAAGUGAAACUGGAUUGAACCAAACCAUGGCCACCCUUUUGAUAUGAGAUAGUUCAUUUACAUAUUUUGGAUGAAAUGGUUUAAAUAGGAGUCCAACAACUUUGCUGAACCUUGAGAUUAGGCUAGAAAAAAAUACCAAAAAUCCCAAACCGAACCGAUCAAAAUUUCGGUACAGAAAUCGUUCUCAAGUUUUUGGGAUUUCUGUAAUCCCAAACCGAACCGAAAUAUAUAUAUAUAUAUAUAUAUUAUUGAAUUUUUAAAUAUAUAUUUAGAAUUUUAAUCUCAACCGUUGAAUACAAAUCAAAAUUCAAACCCUCAGACUUUGACUUGGCCUUACUCUCUCGCUCCGUCUCUCGACUUUGACUCGACCUUGCCUCAGAGUCUCGAACAACCUCACCACCACCCUUCUCGACCUCACCGCAGACAACCUCACCAGUCACCUCAGAAUCCGGCCACACCCUUAGACCCUUUGAUCUCUCUUUCAACUUCUCAUCCUUCAAACCCUCACUGUGGAGGAGCCUUCCUUCAUAGCACAGAGGCAGAGCUAUGGCCACCGGUGCCGCUCACCUAUCUGAUCUCUCUCUCAACUUCUUCAUCCAUAUUCCAGUGCACUGCGCACUGAUU
rnacentral:lncRNA from 1 species